AGAGUUUGAUCAUGGCUCAGGAUGAACGCUAGCUACAGGCUUAACACAUGCAAGUCGAGGGGAAACGACAUCGAAAGCUUGCUUUUGAUGGGCGUCGACCGGCGCACGGGUGAGUAACGCGUAUCCAACCUGCCCACCACUUGGGGAUAACCUUGCGAAAGUAAGACUAAUACCCAAUGACGUCUCUAGAAGACAUCUGAAAGAGAUUAAAGAUUUAUCGGUGAUGGAUGGGGAUGCGUCUGAUUAGCUUGUUGGCGGGGUAACGGCCGCAAGGCUACGAUCAGUAGGGGUUCUGAGAGGAAGGUCCCCCANAUUGGAACUGAGACACGGUCCAAACUCCUAGGGAGCA
rnacentral:rRNA from 1 species